ACUCUUAUCAACAGCAUUGCCAGCUAGUAGAGAACUAUUGUUUGCAAACCAUAGUUCGCCGGCUGAAAUCGAAUUGGAAAGAAUUGUUUGCAUAAAAAUUGCAAACGUCGUUAGUCGGUUGAUCGGUCGGGAAUUUAUCAAGUUUUGUGAAGUUAAUUGCCAUUUAGUAGAGUAUAAAUAAAAUUAACGAUAAAACAUUUAAGUUGAAUUUUAUGUGAAACGGAAAAUCUUAUGUGUAACAUGAGCGGUAGGGCUUCAGUUUGGACAUUGUCAAGGUUUUGUUGACGCACUACGGCCGCAGCAGAAUGACAUAAUGUGCGUUAAUUACAGUGUUAAUUGCAUUAAUGUAAAAAAUGCUCAAUAAGAACAGGACAAUAACUUACAACGAGAUGCAUCGAAAUGGCCUUGCCCAUUGUACGACUUGUGGUGGUGGCUACUCGAAGUAUUUUAAAAUCGGCGGUGAAAAAGCGAUGUAUUGCAAUUUUCUUUUUACUUAUGUAUUCGCUUACGUUUGCCACCAUUUUUUUCUGCAUUGCAGCGCCAAUAACAACAAAUAAAAACAAAGUGGCAAAACAAAAUCAGCUGUAAACGCAGCGAGCACUUGAUUAGUAAAGAGAUUAACGCAAAAAAGAAAGAAACGGUUGCAUUAAAAUAUUAAACUGUUAAGAGCGCCGCUCGUACCGGCCAAUAUACUUAUAAAGCCAUAACAGAACGUAUCUCAUACAUAUAUACCAUAUUUCUCUCUAUAAUGCAAGAUUUGUUUAUUUCUAAAAUAGAAUGUUGGCGUAAUUGUUGAAAUGAAAUGAUGAUGAAGAAAGGGCAGAGAAUGAGGGAAAUACCCAUUAUCAUGGACUACUUCAAAAACUCCAAACUAAAGAAAGAAAAGGCAAAAUCUUAACCCGUUUCAACUAACUAUUGGUGCUGAAGAUCGGAACCGAUUCUGAAAUCGUUUGAAUUGUCUACUGGACACUUUUGAGCUCUUAUCCAGAUGAUGAAAAGCAUAGUAUGGGGACUAUAAUCGAAUCACUGCUAUACUUAACUGUAAUAAUUGUGUAUUUUGGGUUAAACUAAAGUCUUUCAGAAUACUAAACAAUAACCUUUUCCUCUGAUCCAGACAAGCUUAUCUU